UACGUAGGGACCGAGCGUUGUCCGGAUUCAUUGGGCGUAAAGAGCUCGUAGGCGGCCACUCAAGUCGAAUGUGAAACCUCGAGGCUUAACCUCGAGCCUGCAUUCGAUACUGGGCGGCUAGAGUCUGGUAGGGGGAUCUGGAAUUCCUGGUGUAGCGGUGGAAUGCGCAGAUAUCAGGAGGAACACCGAUGGCGAAGGCAGCCCCCUGGGUCAAGAUUGACGCUCAUGCACGAAAGCGUGGGGAGCAAACAGG
rnacentral:rRNA from 1 species